AAGGAAGAGCUCCAGGUCCUGAAUUCCUCUCAGAUCUGUCUAGGGUGUAAAUGUAGGCUCGCUCUUUAAGAACAGUAUUUCUCUGUGGAAGGGACCUGAGUCUUGGUGUUGCCCGGGAGUGUCGCUGGUGUCCGGAGCUCUCACGUGCCGAGUGUGAGUGAGGCCAGAARCCGAGCCCCCCUGCACCAGCACAGGGCCUGCCCCUGCACCAGCACACCCGGGGGUGAUGAAAAUUGGCACUGAGGACCAUGUGCUUCAAACAAGAGAGUUCCUGGAGCAGGAAGAGCAACCUCUUCACACCUCGCGGAGCUCCCACAGUUGCCGUGUGCCUCGCUGUGGCUCCAUGAUGGGGGCACAGGCUCUAUUUUAUACUGUGCCCAGGAAGACAGUCCAAYGCUGAGGAAACACCUGACUCUAGAAAUGUUUCCUAGCUGUUUUUCCCAGAUGAAUUCUGUAGCAAAAACGAGGUACCGUGUCCUGGAACAACAUCRUGUCGUGGGGGAUCUUUGGCGAUUUGCUCAAGGCGCCGGAGUCACCACAUGCCCUCAGCUAUACACGUGGCCUCUGCAGGGCUGAAACUCCAAUCCACUGAGCUCGCCCAGGCCGUAUAAAUCAGGAGCAGUUCAGCUGCCUCCAGGGGAAUUCCUGCUCUCAUAACAGCCGAGUGACGGCAGCUCCCCCAAUGCUGGGCAGAGCUUAGCAGAAGAGAGGAAAUAUGUCAGGUUCUUUUCUCAGUCGCUUAUCUUUGUAUGCAGAAAAGUGACACUUUCCCCUGCCUAAACACGUGUUACAUUGUGGGUUAUUUCCCUGUAUGUGAAUGCUGGCACGUGAGACCCUUUUGAGUUAUAAUGGAAAGGGAAGAUGAAAAUAGAGAGAGAAAUAGCA